GGGACGGCUGGCUACUACCAGUGUCGGUAACACUAGGGGGUUACAGCUGAGUCUUCACAACUCUGUGUGAGUGGCCUUCUCCAGUAUGCAGCAGGAGUUAGCAGUUCAUAAAGAUGUAAAAGCGUGACCGCUUGAGGCUGUAGCUAAUGGCUGCAACGCCAGCUACAGCUAAGGUCUUGCUGCCUGGCCCCUAAUGACUGUGACAUGCCAGGAGGUAUUCUCUGAUGUCACCACCAUUUCCCAGGGAUGAUGAAGGUGAUUAGGCUUGAAGUCCUGUGAGAACAGCUCAGACCCUGUUUUGGCCGCCUAGGAAGCAGAGGACAUUUAUCAAAGCUUUUCCCAGCAAGCGUCAUUUUAUUUGCGGCUGUCUAGCAACAUGGGUGGCAGUCAGCCGAGUCUCGCUAGCUCGGACGGAAGUCGAAACAACGAGGGUGCCGGUUGGUAACGGUCUGCAGAGAAGGCUUGGGAGGAAAAAUAUGACUCGAAGGAGCCACGCUGCACAAAAAUGGGCCGACAGAGCCCCGACAAUGAGACACAUGGCAAACCUGGGGAGGAGCCGUAGGACAAUAACUGGGGCUGGUGAAAUCUAUGGCCUGGCUGAACAGGAAGAACUCCCUACUAAUUGCAUUGCUGACGGCCCGAGCCACCACAUAGUUUGUUUGCUGACUGUCCUUCCUGGCCUAUAACAAAUUGCUCCAUCUGCUUUACUCUGUGCAUGCACGUGCUAAUUUUCCUUUGCGUACUUGCAAAAUAUACCCCAUCGAAGUUCAUUAUUGUAAAUGAAUAUGAGUGUUUCAAUAAGGCCCCUAUCAGUCCUCAUUUUACACCAAAUCUUCCCUACAGGUUUUUGGUUUUUUUUUUUUUCCCCCUC